rnacentral:rRNA from 1 species
CCUACGGGGGGCUGCAGUGGGGAAUAUUGGACAAUGGGGGCAACCCUGAUCCAGCCAUGCCGCGUGUGGGAAGAAGGCCCUCGGGUUGUAAAGCACUUUCAGUGAGGAAGAACGCCUGGUGGUGAAUACCCAUCAGGAAAGACAUCACUCACAGAAGAAGCACCGGCUAACUCCGUGCCAGCAGCCGCUGUAAUACGGAGGGUGCGAGCGUUAAUCGUAAUUACUGGGCGUAAAGCGCGCGUAGGUGGCUUGAUAAGCCGGUUGUGAAAGCCCCGGGCUCAACCUGGGAACGGCAUCCGGAACUGUCAAGCUAGAGUGCAGGAGAGGAAGGUAGAAUCCCCGGUGUAGCGGUGAAAUGCGUAGAGAUCGGGAGGAAUACCAGUGGCGAAGGCGGCCUUCUGGACUGACACUGACACUGAGGUGCGAAAGCGUGGGUAGCAAACAGGAUUAGAUACCCUAGUAGUC